CACGAGGUGCCCGGUGGGAAUCCAGACGCCACAUCAGCUCCCUAUCAGCGCCUCGUCUCCACUGCGCCUUCCGCACAAUCACAACACGUCUUCGCCGAGGCCGCAAAAGACCCCGAGAGUGGCAGCUGCUGCAGACGUCAAACUGAAACUGUUGUGUGUUUGUGCCGCUUUCAGCCUGUGUGCUGGGGGGGGGGGGCUGUUAUUCCUGCAGACGCCAGAACAAACAGCCACGGCGUGAUUCACCCUGCAGCCCACCGCAUCUGCAUCACGGCCCAGACGCUCAGCUAUAUCUGGCCGUUAUCAGCACGAAUCUGCUCCCCCGCCUCUGACCGACAGGAGCUGCUGAAUAUGAGCUCAGGCGUGUAGGAGAAACUACGGUGGCCCCUGUCUGUAGCCAGUGUUUGGUUUGUCCGUUCUGGGCUACUGUAGAAACAUGCAAAGGCCUCGGACCGAGCUGCAGUAUCUGACAACCAGCAGCUCCUCUUAAACACUGGACCUGUGAGGGCUCUUUAACCCACAAACAGAAGGCUCAGUGGAUUUCAUAAAGCCUCAAUCUGUUCUUCAGUGUACAACAGUGAACAGUUUGAUCUCAUCACAGAGCGUUAUUGAGUCAUUAUUGGCCGUUUGAUCGUAGAGAUCAGUCGCUGUUUGAUGAAAAGCUCAUUAUCACCAUAUGUUCUCUGGAGUUUGAUCUUUAAGUGUUCACUGCAGAUACCUGAGUGAACAAACACUCUUCAGUGCGCAGUGUAAUUAAAACUGCAUGUAGACGUUUAAAUAAAGUGUUUGGUACAAACCCUGACUGAAAAUGUCCACCUUAGAUUAAGUCUUUUUAAUCUGUAUUUCAUUAUCAACAAGGAAUUUUUUAUUUAUGAAUCAAAGUAUGUUCGCUUGAAUCUGUUAAUUGGAUGGCGGUUGGGAAUGAACUCGUGGGCACGACGUACCCCCUACGACGCCUCUGAUAGUAGAUAGAGUAAGAAACAGGAGAAGAAGAUUGAGAAGGGAGAGAGCGAGAAGGGAGGAGAAGGUUGCCCUGAAAUUCCACCGCACAGCUUUAUAACGUUGAUCUGCCCGACUUCAAAUCCCUCAGAGCGUCUUCAGAGCGUUGUUGCGCCCGGUUAAGUUUGGGGGUUAACAUCUCAAACAUCAUACUGUCAGAAUAGUGUUUAAUUUGUGUUAUUUUAUUUACAUCAUUCACGAUUUGUCUGUUGCUGUUUUGUAAACGCACCAUUCAUUGUCAGCCCCUCUGGCUCCAGAGAGAGCACUUUUGGUCGUGCUACAUUAAGCAUGAAUGAGGAGAGGAAGCGACGCUGGCGAGAACAAAGCGUUGAAUCACAGAAAUAAUAAUAUAUUGAGGUUGUUUCACAGCGGUUGCUUUCUAAAUCACAAAUAAACACGACCACCAACCUCCGCACAACCCUGCGGGAGGGAGCCACGCCUGCAGCUGGUUAUGCCUCCGUGGCUACAGCUUGUUCCCUUCAUUGGUUAGGUCAGUUAGGGGGGUUAUGUUGGUUGGGCCAUAUAUAAAUGGUUAUGGUUAGAAAAUAUAUCAAGACCAGGGCCAAUCAGAGGGGCAGAGUACGGGAGGUAAUUGCUUAAUGCUGAGAAAAUUGUUUUGAAAAUUAAUGAAAAAUGUCAAAAGUAUUGGUUAGAGCUAAGUUGUGGAACAAUAUUUGGUCCCAAUCAGGAAAAGACAGAACCAUGGACGUAACCUGAUUGCUAAAGGUUGAUAAAUACAGGCAGAACCUGCAGAAACAGACCAACACGCAGCUCCAGUGGGUCAGCAGUGAUGAUUGAGAGGGAUUAUUAGAGGUUUGUUUUUUAGGAAUAUCCUGCACAGUCUGCCUUUUAGACUUUCACAGCUCAGAUACAGACAGAAAUGAUGAGAUGCACAGAACAUACUUGAAAUUCUAGUGGAGAUCCCAAAGUUUCCAAAGAUAUCAAAUCUGUCAGGACGAAUUUAAGGAGGGGAAAUGUGUCUCAAAUGUUGCAGUGGAAUAUUUCCAUUUGGUUCAGCCUUAAAAAAAACAUCUCUGAAUAUUUCAUUCAGAAUAAACACAAAAGCUUCAACAGACACAGAAAACCAUUAACCUUCCCGACUCCUAUCUGUUGCUAACAGUCCAUGUUGAAUCAUGUUAAACUCUGAAUACGACACAUGAAAUAUUUAUAGUCAUUUCAGCUGUCUGACCUCAUUCUGUCAACAAUCCAAAAAGUUUCUCGACUCGAGCCGAGAAACACACUUCCAAAACCUCAAAAACCUCAAAAAGUACAGUUUGCACGAGGCGGCCGAGCCCGACCGUCACGUUUAAACACACAUCCGUUAUUAAAGAGGUUUUCAUUCUCAUAAUCAGUUUAUACGACUUCAGAAUCGCAGACGGGAUCCAUCUCACGCCGGAAAUCCCACAAUCCACCGGCCGCGACGGACACCAGGUCUUAAAAUGCAAAUGAGUCACAGGCUGCGCUUUGGAAAGUUUUAAUUCCCACUUCCUCCGUGACCGAACUGAAGCCCGAAAACCUCGAAUGAACUCGGACCAGCUGACGGUUCAGAGAGAUCAGAGCUCGUUCCAGGAAACUUCAUCAGGUUGUAAAAUACGGAGGACGAAAGCUGCCGGAUUGAUGAAUAAAUGAAUUUUUAAAGAGACAUGUUUGAUAUUUAAAAAUAUACUUUUCAUGAGCUUUCAAACAAAAAAAAGGCUCUAAAAAGCAAAACUUUAACUGUUAAGUGAAAGUUAAAAAAAUCACAUUCUGCAGUCAAAAAUAAAUACAUUUCUAAAAUUCACAAAGAAACUAAUAUAUGUGCACACAUAUUAAUGAAUU
rnacentral:lncRNA from 15 species